GCAACAGUCGAAUACACUUUUAUGAAGCAUUUCCCUUCCAAAUCCAUACUAAUUCUAGUCUUUACCACUUUGCAAACAAAUUGGACCAGCUGGUUUCUCCUGGCUAAAUAAAGAGUGUAUCAAAUGCAGCUUAGUUGAAUGGUCAGGCACCAUAUGUUUUCCUUUUAGAAUUUCAGUGACGUUGUCAUUUGAUAGUUUUCAUAUUCUUUUGGCCCCCUUCAAAUCUCGGCCCCUGAUUGCUAAGCCCCUGGAACAGUGAUAAACUGGGAAUGUUAUUCUGUGGCUUGAGCCAUACAGUGUCCCAUUUGUUCCGUGACAUAAUGUCUUAUGUCACCCCUGAAUGCAUUGUGCAACAAAUGUUUUUGUUACCAAAAGAAAACUAGUCAAGUGUUUAGCCAACCCUUGCUCAUAACAGUCCUCUAUUGUGUCGGCCUUGCAAUUACAGCAUGUACCAGAGCCUACUCGCUUUUUU